rnacentral:misc_RNA from 1 species
GCGCAGGUCAUUCUUAUAUUGAAAUACAAAGUUAGUAAUUGUCCAUAUAUAAAACAAAAUCUUUCUCAUAACUGAAAAUGUUAAUGUAGUGCCUUAAGAUCCCGCUACCACAAGGGCACUUUAUACUGUUAAACAGUAGGUUAAUGGUCGUAAUGAAGGUUUUGUUUUGAACGCCUUCUCGCUACUGUUAGUUUAGCUUACUCAGUACCAUUCCGCCUAUAUAUACUUCCAUCAAAAAUAUUAACUUGAAUUAAAUCUAAAACGUAAUAUUUAAAAAAAAAAUAAUUAUAAUAUAACUAAAACUUUUGGAUCGUGGGAUUUAGUCUUUUUUGUUUGAAUUUAAUAGAUAAAUCCUUUUAAAGUCGACCUAAAGUACGUUUUAGAUGCUUAUUGGUGCAGUAUAGUUUGAUAUUUAAAAUUGUUCUGCAUAUUGUAUGCAGUUGGAACGUAGAUUCUCCAAACCAUUUUGCCCUAUAUCAGUACAUAAAUUAAGAAAAAUAAACGUGUAUUUCCAAUGCUUCACAGAUUUCAUUUUUAAAUCCCAUCGUUGUUAUAAAUUUGAAUAUCAUGUGUAUGUAUUUGAUUUUUAGCUAUGAUAUCCUUUUGUUAAUUCCUAGCAAUUUUGCAUUUAAGUGAUGUAAAGACUUGCUUAUGCAGACAAAUACAAUUAUUUUUAUUUUGUCUUGAAGUCCGCUCUGUUUUCGAACAACCUGACAAUUUCUUUUUCAAGACAUAAGAUGUCAGCUAAGAACAUUCAUUACGUUUUGCAUCUGGCACUAUAUACUUUGCUAAGUAAUGGUCUAUUGUUAUUUUCCUUAUAUGUUUUGUAUGAAUAUAGAAUAUUGUAAUUUAAUGUCUGUGUCAUUGUUUUUAUACAAUAAAACUUGCGUGAAACGCAUAACU